rnacentral:misc_RNA from 1 species
UCUCCGUUGGUGAACCAGCGGAGGGAUCAUUACAGGAACUCGCAAGACUCCUAACCCACUGUGAACCUACCCGACGUUGCCUCGGCGGGCGCCCGGCCUCGCGCCGGGCACCAAGCCCGCCGGCGGCCCCCUACUCUGUCUCUGCAGCGUUGUGUCUCCGAGUAUACCAAAACAAGUCAAAACUUUCAACAACGGAUCUCUUGGCUCUA